UUUUGUUGCCUUUGACACUCCCUCACUGAAUCUUUCUGGUUUGAAUUCCUUCGCGUCUUCACCCCAUAAUUCCUUGUCAUAAUGAAUUAAUAUUGUGGGUAUAAUGAGUAGCACUCCAGCUGGUAAACUCAGCUCCCCUAAUUUGACUUCAUGUUUGUUCCUUCUACGAUAUGUUGGUACUGAGGGGAAUAGCCUUAACGUCUCGUGCAAGAUCAUUGUCAUCUAAGGAAAGAAAAAUGUAUUGGAUAAGUUGGAAGUAGAAUUAGUUCACUUCUUACAAAAUUUAGAUGUCAUACCUUUCAGAGAUCUUUUAGUCUCCGAGUAAAUGCCCCUAGGAGACUGGAAUAGGCCGAUAGAAAAUGUGGUUUAUCUGAUCUCAGUGGGAACAAUUUGGCAUUAAUGAUGGGCAAGACGAUAUAACAACUACUUAUUUUAUCGUUGAUUUUACAGUGUUUUUCAUCUUUAAAAUUCGAUCUAUGCAGUGAUCUUGGGCUAUUUUAAGUUAUCUUACAUAAUGAACUGGUGGAAAGUACUUACAAUUUUGAGGUGACUUAGACCUUCCGAAUUCGGUUUUUCAUUUCCGAAGACCUGCAACACCUCCUCUCUGGCACGUGCUUGCCACUCUGGAUGUAGGCUCAACAAAAUCAUUGUCCACACGAGCAACACUGAAGCGGUCUCUUGUCCAGCAAAAUAGAAUAACUUGCAUUCUUCAAUCAUUUCAAUUGUUGUUAUUCCGAAAUCUUUGCUUCUGUGUUGUUCAAUUUCUCUCAUAUUGGAUUCAAGUAAUAUGCCUAAUAAGUCAUCUUUACUAGUUUCCCCUGCUUCCAUUGCCCUCAAUCUUUUGUCGAUGAUACGUCUAAUAGUUGUUUGGACUUGCUUUUCGAUUUCCAGCAUUCUUUUGUUCCUUUUAGUAGGCAAGAACCUAACAAAACAAAUUUAAAAGCAAACAAGAAAAGUGUUUUUAGUAGAAAGGAAUGAACAUGUGGUUUUCGAUGUUAUGUAGAAAUUUCACAAAUAAAUUGUUAUACCUUGUUCCUGGUAUAUAAACUGAACGAAUUAUGUUAAUUACAUACUCAGCUUGUUCUUUCUGAAGUUCAAAUACUAUUCUCCCUUCUUCAUAGCUACUCCCAAAUGCAGUUCGAGAAAUGACUUCAGCGGUAAUUAAUUGAAGGUCUGGCCAUACAUCGAGCUCGAAAGAUGUUUCCUUUGGAAUAAUCUCCUCCCAUUUGCUUAUCAUUUCGCUACAACUCUGGUAAAAUGCUGGCAACAUAUGCUGUACAAAAGAAAUUAAUCUCAAAAAGGUGGUUCAAAAGUUGCUAUAGAUUUCAGGUUCAAAUCUCAGGUGUGGCAUGCUUGCAUUGUUUUAAAUCCACUUCACGUUGUUUGUUACUGCACUCGUGGACAUAAACGGACAACUUCAUAAUGUUAAGACAUUUCAAUAUGCUAUCUUAAGUUCUAAGCAUGAAAAUUUACCAAUGUUUGCUAAAUCUAUUAGUACUAAGAAUAUGAAGUGAAUAUAACCUUUAACUUCUCAAGUUGGAAAGCAGGUUGGAUGAUCUUUCUGUGUUUGGCCCAUUUGUCUUCCUCAAGCUUCGCAAGACCUAGAGCCAAUUUCUUGGCAAAUGGAUUGGGAUGAGUUUGCCUUUGGUACACAUAAUUCUUUGUCAAAAUCUCCUUUACAUGUUCAGGGUCUGUGAUCAACACUACUGGAUAUGGGCCUAGCCACAUAAAAGAACUUUUACCUGAGAGUAAUCCAUUUCGAUUAGAAAAAAAAGAGGCAAAAUACAUCAACAUACACUCAAAUUUAAUCCCAACUGACAAGCAAGCACUCCAACUUCGAGAGUGCACAUAUGUUGACAUGUUAACCAUACAUCUUUUUUACUUUGCCUGAUUUGGUGCAAGAAAACACAGGCAAGUAAGUUAUCAACUAUGAAUUCAUAGGGCUCUAAUUGCUUAGGUAAUUGCAUCAGUCAACUAUAGUCUUUAGUUGAGAUCAGGGGAGGAGCAACCACAAAACGUAUUGGUUCAUGUGAACUAUGUAGCUUUUGUCAAGAUCUUGUUUAUUAUAUGUAUUUUAGGAACCAUAAAUGUUUGAUCGUAUAUCCAUUUAUAUACACUUAAGGUCCCUAUUAAAAUCCAUAAAUUUCAAAUCUUGGAUCUGCCUCUACUUGAGAGUUCACGGCCCUCUGAACUCAUGGAUGGAGCUAGGGUACCAAAAAGUGAUUCAUCUAGAUCCUCUUUACAAAAAAUUACACUGCAUAAAGACAAGAAUAGAAAAAAUUUAUUCCUUUAAAGAAGAAUAAAUGAAACAUACCGUUUUUAUUGAUGGCGUUGGCGAAAAAAGGGUUGAUUCUUUGAGCUAUACCGUCAGAGAAAUUGAUGGGCUUAGAUUUGGCUUCAUUGAGUUUAUCUGUGAGUUCCUUCAAAUCUCCAUAGAGUAAUUUGUAUGGAUUUCCCUUAAGACCACUCUUUCUUAAGUAUUUCUCAAGUUUUUUUGGCCUAAACCAUGCCCAAUUCAACAGUUUCCAUGUAUAUACCAACAAAACUGCAACAUAAAUUGCUGUUAUAAUUGUGUUGUAAGAAAUCUCCAUGAAAUUAAUAAAAUGCUUCUUUCUAGCUGCUUCCUUUUACAUAGAAAAAAGAGGGGAAGUUAGCUAAUUUAUAACCUUUUAAUUUAUUGGAUUUGACUCCUUUCCAUUUUCCCCAAAUUCUUGAUUUGAUUGCUGAGAUUUAACUAACCAAAGAAAGUCUUUGACUAUGGUUCAGAUAAUAAAUACAUUAUAUAUUUAGUUUCAAAUAUUAUUGUAAUCUCACAAUCUUAGCAACAUAUUAUUAUCUUGUCCAUAAAAAUAGUAAAAAAUAAAGGCAUAAUACAAUAAUAUACCCUUUAACUUUUUUUAAAAAAACCUUUAACUUGGCUUUGGCGGACAUCUAUGCCCUCCAAAUUUAGGUGUACAAAAGUAGAUACUUAAGCUUAUAUGAAAUUGAACAUGUAGCCACAUACAUCUACGUGGCAUAAUACAUGUAGAAUACUACAUAGGACACAAAAUUGCCAUGUAGGACGUCAUGACCUAAGACGAAUGUGUCUAUUUGUUUAGUUUUAUAUAAGCUUAAUACUCAAAAGUGAUUCUUUUUAUAGAUUGAACAAGCUUAUCUCUUCUUCUUCUCCUUUUUCCUUUUUGUUUCAUCCGUUUACACAUAUUAAAUUAAAGGUAUGAACUAUUAAAUCUAAAUAUUACACAAUUUGAUUUUUGGUGCAUCCAUUUUUCAAAAAAAAAAUUAUUUUUAACUUGGACACCCUUCAUAAAAUUCUAUAGAGACAUUUCUAAACCAAACUAUUAGCGGUAGAUGAAUUUUGGAUCAAACUAUUAACGAUAAGGACAUUUUUAGAUCAAACUAUUAAUGGAGUGCAUUUUUGUUCAAUUUCACAUAUUUUAAGGGUAUUUUGACCCUUUUCCAAUUAAAAUAAUUGGACAAUAAAUACAUCCUAAAAUGGAAAAAAAUACAAAUGCAAUAUCGAAUGUAAUAGAUUUGUUAGUCAUUCCUCAUCCAAAAAUGAAGGCAAGACUUACUCAAAGGCUCAAACUCCUAUGUUGAAAAAAUUACUUUGAAUAUACUCUCUCCGUCAUAAAAUAAGUGUCACUUUAGCUGAUCAUUUCACACUUAUUAAGAAAAAUAACAAAUAAAAGAUAUAGUUUACUAAGUUAUCCCUUUUAAUUAGAUUUUUCUUGAGAGUCGAGUACUAUUUAAAGGAAGUAGUUCUUUAAUACAAGGGUGUAGUUGGAAACACAAACUAUAUUUUGUUUUGAAUUCCUAUAUAUGAUUCUUCUAGCAAAGCUCAAGGUAUAUUUGAUAUUCUUUAUACAUGAUUUUUUUUACUUGUGAACGGCUAAUUUUGAGUUUUAAAUAUCUCCCUUAUACAUAUACUUGCUUAUCAUUUUUUUGCGGCUAUAUUAUAAUCUAAUUUUUGUAUCUAUAAAAUAAAAUUGAGGCAUCUAAGAUAAAUUUUAGGGAAAAUGCAUAAGUACCCCCCCCCCCCCCCNNNNNNNNNNNNNNNNNNNNNNNNNNNNNNNNNNNNNNNNNNNNNNNNNNNNNNNNNNNNNNNNNNNNNNNNNNNNNNNNNNNNNNNNNNNNNNNNNNNNNNNNNNNNNNNNNNNNNNNNNNNNNNNNNNNNNNNNNNNNNNNCCCGAACUUAUUUUAUAAAUAAUUUUCUACCCCUUUUUGGCCUACGUGGCACUAUCAAUGAAAUAAUUGUCAACACACGCGGGGCCCAAAAAAUAGUGCCACGUAGGCCGAAAAGGGGUAUACAAUUAUUUAUAAAAUAAGUUCAGGAGGGUAAUAGGACCUUAGUAUAGUAUAAGUGUAUCUCUGAGAUUUCGGGCAUAGGUUGGGGGUACUUAUGCAUUUUCUCUAAAUUUUAUAGGUAAAUGAGUGGGAAUUUUUUUUUGACAAUCUAAAAAUAAUUUUUUUUUUUUUUCAAUCAUGUUAAACCUAAAGGGUAUUUCUUGGUCAUUUGCGUAUCAGUAAGCAUAUAUGCACUUUUACAAUGAGAGUAUAUCAAUUCUGAAUCGCAAAGUUGAGGUAUGAGACUCUUUUCCCUUUAUUAAAAGCAAAUAAGUCGAACAAAAGGUCGGCCCAAAAGUGACCAGCCCAGCUCAAUACCACAAUGUUGAAAUAGGAAAAGAGCAAUUUCUUAAAUAUGAGCAACAUCUAUUUCAAAGUUUGCGCAUAAGGAGAGGAGCACCAUACUGUGGACGAAUAGUAAAUGAUGCAACUGGAGCAUGUGUAUAAGACGGAGAGAGUUCGAAGGAGAACUUUUGUAGAAUCAUUGCUAUUGCCAUUUUUGCUUCUAUCAUUGCAAAGUUUUGUCCGAUGCAAACUCGAGGUCCCCCGGAAAAUGGAAUAAACGAGAAGUGUCCUUUGGUUGCCUUUGACACUCCUUCACUGAACCUUUCUGGUUUGAAUUCCUUCGCGUCUUCACCCCAUAAUUCCUUGUCAUAAUGAAUUAAUACUGUAGGUAUAAAGAGUAGCACUCCAACUGGUAGACUCAGAUCCCCUAAUUUGACUUCAUCUUUGUUCCUUCUACGAUAUGUAGGUACUGGGGGGAAUAGCCUUAAUGUCUCGUGCAAGAUCAUUG
rnacentral:lncRNA from 1 species